GAAAAAACAAGGGGAUUGGAAUCCUUAAAUGCCUUUUUUCUCUUCCUCUCUAUUUACAUUCUUCAGCGACAGCGAAGGGCUGCCAAUGUCGACGGUGACGCCUCAAGGCAGUCGUCCCUUCUUCUCCUCUGCAGCGACGAGUUCUCUUUUUCUAGCGGUGGUUCGUGAUGGUUCUCGACGGUGGCAACCCUCUUUUUCGUUGUGGUUCUAAAAAUGAGUAAUCAUCUUCGCCAUCCCUAUUUUAUUCUCAUCUUCUUCCUUUUUAUUUAUUUAUCCACGAUCUCUAACAUUUUCGUCUUCUUCGUUUUUUUCUUCAUGUUCUCUCUUCCCCCAUUUUCAUCAUUCAUAGCCUUCCCAUCCUCCCAGUGGCUUAUUAAGGCCAAGAAAGGAGGCAAUUAGAAUCGAUUCAUGGUGGUGCUUAUUCCGUGAUGAUGGUGGGUUUGUAAAUCGUCUUGGAUGUCGGGGGUAUGGUCGACGGAAAUGCUAUUCGCUCAAGGUGCUAUGUGAUAAGUGCCAAAAAUGCCUAUAAUUCAUAUACUUUUUAUGGCACUUAUCAUUGCCAAAAUUGAGAAAACCAACUUAAUUCAACACUUUUUGGAUGAAAUAUCACAAUCUUGUAUAUAUGCUUUGUGUAUUUCUUUGUAUUAUAUUUUUAUUAGAGUCGCCACUACAUUUUUUCUAGUAAAAGGUGUAGAAAAAUCUUUUGGCCCAAUCGUAUUAGGCCUUGGACUUUGAUAUCCAGGUUCAGGAGUCAAUUACACACUAGGGAAGGUAUUAGCAUUGCAGUUGCCCGUUUGAA
rnacentral:lncRNA from 1 species